rnacentral:lncRNA from 1 species
CAGAAGACAUGUAAGAAUAGUGCGGUCAGGCAUCUGGCAACGCUGGAUUGCUGGCUUCCCUGAAGUGAUCGGUGCCAUUGAUGGAACGCACGUGAUGAUUGUGGCUCCUAGAGAGUAUAAGGUAGAGUUUGUCAACAGGAAGAGAUACUACAGCAUCAACGUGCAGUUUGUGUUUGAUGCUUGAUACCACAUUAUUGAUGUGGUUGCAAAGUGGCCGGGAUUGGUUCACGAUGCAAGAAUACUUGUUCAAAGUGGACUCUGCACGAUAUUUGACAACGGCAUCGUCCCAGCUGGGUGUCACUUACAGGGAGAUGGUGACUAUUCCAGCAAGAAGUGGCUACUGACUCCAUACCUCAGACCACAGCCUGGAGCACAGUCUUCUUAUAACAGGGCCCACAAGAAAACCCACAGCGUUGUUGAGAGACAUCGGGCAGCUGAAGCGACAUUUUCACAUGCUACACAGUGAGAUCCGAGUUGGUCCUCCAUCCAAGGUCUGCCAAAUUGUAGAGGUUUGUGCACUGCUGCACAACAUCUGCAAAGCAAGAAACAUCAUUCUUCCUGAGGAAGAAGAACAUCUUGCUGCAGCCGAGGAUGGAGGCAACGAGGAGCGACUCCUAGCACAGAAAGUUCAAAGUCGUCAUGAAGUAAUCCUUUACAGGGAUGAAUUUGUUGUGCUUCACUUCAACAUUGAUGAGUGAUGAGACACCAGCGUCAUGACUGCUGAGAUUGGUGUUAUUCUCAUGUGGAUGAUCUCCUCCUCAUCCACAAACACCAGUGAUAUACCAGGCAAGUCUGGCCCCUGUUGGUGCUGCAAGUGGUGUGGCAGGUGCCUCCUCCUCAACACCCACUGCCUCGGUCACCACUUCUCUCUGUUGGGCUGCCUCUGCCACUUCCCCAGCAUCAUCUGCUGCCUGAACACUGCUGGCAUCAUUAGUUCUAACUUCAGAAACUAAGCUGAUAAUGUUUUUGGUUUUAUUGCUAAGGACAAAAGUAACAAACCAGUAAAUCUAGCUAAGGGUA